rnacentral:rRNA from 1 species
UACGGGGGGGGCAAGCGUUGUUCGGAAUUACUGGGCGUAAAGGGCUCGUAGGCGGCCAACUAAGUCCGACGUGAAAUCCCCAGGCUUAACCUGGGAACUGCGUCGGAUACUGGAUGGCUUGAAUCCGGGAGAGGGAUGCGGAAUUCCAGGUGUAGCGGUGAAAUGCGUAGAUAUCAGGAGGAACACCAAUGGCGAAGGCAGCUCGCUGGAACGGUACUGACGCUGAGGUGCGAAAGCGUGGGGAGCGAACAGG